rnacentral:tRNA from 1 species
GGUACCGUGUCCGAGCGGCCGAAGGUGCAACUCUCGAAAAGUUGUGUGGGUGAGAGCCCACCGUGGGUUCAAAUCCCACCGGUACCGCCAGUG